AUGGACAAGUAUUUCAGCUCUGCUUAUCGCGGCGACCCAGGCGUUCCCCAUGCCGACCCCCACCGUUUCGUCAACAUUUGGAUCGGAUCCCUUGCCUUCACCGCCAUGAACUGCAUCAAUCCCUACUUUUGGCACACCGGUUCCACCACCUUCAACUGGCAUGAUAGGGUAAUGCUAUUUGAGCAAUAUCAUUGGAAAAGAGCGAUGAAGAAGAACCAGCCAUAUGAGUUCAUGUGGAACAAGACAUGGGACAAGGCACACCGGGAUUCAUACUACUUCAAUUGGCCUAUUUACUUCACUUAG